GCCCGGGUGGUGGAAUUGGCAGACACGCUAGACUAAGGAUCUAGUCCCAGAAAUGGGGUGCGAGUUCAAGUCUCGCCUCGGGCACCA
rnacentral:tRNA from 1 species